UACGUAGGGUCCGAGCGUUGUCCGGAAUUAUUGGGCGUAAAGGGCUCGUAGGCGGCUUGUUGCGUCAGCUGUGAAAACCCGCAGCUCAACUGUGGGCUUGCAGCUGAUACGGGCAGGCUUGAGUUCGGUAGGGGAGACUGGAAUUCCUGGUGUAGCGGUGAAAUGCGCAGAUAUCAGGAGGAACACCGGUGGCGAAGGCGG
rnacentral:rRNA from 1 species